rnacentral:rRNA from 1 species
ACAAGCGGCGGAGCAUGCGGAUUAAUUCGAUGCAACGCGAAGAACCUUACCAAGGCUUGACAUACACCGGUAACGCCCAGAGAUGGUGCCCCUUGUGGUCGGUGUACAGGCGGUGCAUGGUUGUCGUCAGCUCGUGUCGUGAGAUGUUGGGUUAAGUCCCGCAACGAGCGCAACCCUCGUCCUAUGUUGCCAGCGGGUCAUGCCGGGGACUCAUGGGAGACUGCCGGGGUCAACUCGGAGGAAGGUGGGGAGUGACGUCAAAUCAUCAUGCCCCUUAUGUCUUGGGCUUCACGCAUGCUACAAUGGCCGGUACAAAGGGCUGCGAUACCGCGAGGUGGAGCGAAUCCCAGAAAGCCGGUCUCAGUUCGGAUUGGGGUCUGCAACUCGACUUCAUGAAGUUGGAAUCGCUAGUAAUCGCGGAUCAGCAUGCCGCGGUGAAUACGUUCCCGGGCCUU